GGCAGCAAAAAUGAAGGUCUAGAGGAAAAGCAAUUUACUUCUGCUUAUGGCACCCUGCAAAAACAAACAUCUCUCAGGAAAGCAAGAGUCUUCCGUCACGGGAGGCAGCACUGUGGCACUGGCCUCACCUUGGAAUCAGAUGGAGCUCAGUGUGAAUCCUGGCUCUACCAUGCAGCAAAGCUAUGCGGCCUUGCCAUGCAUCAGUUCUUCAACUGUAAGUAUCAAUAAUCCAAGAUAAAUUCUGAAUGAACUCUGAGAUAUUACUGUCCAAUCAGAGGCCGACCUACUCAACAAAAAGGCAUCAUACCAAGAGAAAAAGAACAUGGAGAGAAAAAGAACAUGGAAGGCUUCAUAUGGCGAUAACCCUAAAUCUCACAUGCCUACAAUUUUCUAGAUGACAAUGAAAAUUUUGAGCAGUCUUCAUCAGAAAACACCAACUGUGUGGUUGGCCCCAAUGAUGCUCUGUGCCUCUGUAGUGACCAUAAGCUUUUUCCAAGAGCAGGGCCUUCCUCUUACC